rnacentral:tRNA from 1 species
UGAUCCGUGGCUCAAUUGUAGCGCGUCUGACUCCAGAUUAGAAGGUUGCGUGUUCGAUUCACGUCGGGUUCA